GGAACUGGCCUGGUCUGGCCUCUGGACUUCAAGCCCAGAGGC
rnacentral:tRNA from 1 species